rnacentral:rRNA from 1 species
CCAAUAGCGUAUAUUAAAGUUGUUGCAGUUAAAAAGCUCGUAGUUGAAUUUUAGGCCUGGCCGGACGGUCCGUCUCUGGCGAGUACUGUUCUGUCGUCGGGUCUAUCCUUCUGGUGAGCCGGUAUGUUCUUAAUUGGGCGUGUCGGGGAACCAGGACCAUUACCUUGAAAAAAUUAGAGUGUUUAAAGCAGGCUUUUGCUUGAAUAGAUUAGCAUGGAAUAAUAGAAUAGGACGUUGUGGUUCUAUUUUGUUGGUUCUAGGACCACCGUAAUGAUUAAUAGGGAUAGUUGGAGGCAUUAGUAUUCAAUUGUCAGAGGUGUAAUUCUUGGAUUUAUUGAAGACUAACUACUGCGAAAGCAUUUGCCAAGGAUGUUUUCAUUAAUCAAGAACGAAAGUUAGGGGAUCGAAGACGGUCAGAUACCGUCGUAGUCUUAACCAUAAACUAUGCCGACUAGGAAUCGGGCGACGUUAUUUUCACGACUCGCUCGGCGCCUUAUG